GGUAUAGCUCAAGUGGUAGAGCGCAUGCUUAGCAUGCACAAGGCCCUGGGUUCAAUCCCUAGUACC
rnacentral:tRNA from 1 species